rnacentral:tRNA from 1 species
UCCCUGGAGGACUAGUGGUUAGGCCACAGCGCUCUCACUGCCCCAGCUUGGGUUUGAUUCCCGGCCAGGGAA